rnacentral:rRNA from 1 species
GAUGAACGCUGGCGGCGUGCCUAAUACAUGCAAGUCGAACGCAUAGCGAAAGGUGCUUGCACCUUCCAAGUGAGUGGCGAACGGGUGAGUAACACGUGGACAACCUGCCUCAAGGCUGGGGAUAACAUUUGGAAACAGAUGCUAAUACCGAAUAAAACUUAGUGUCGCAUGACACAAAGUUAAAAGGCGCUUCGGCGUCACCUAGAGAUGGAUCCGCGGUGCAUUAGUUAGUUGGUGGGGUAAAGGCCUACCAAGACAAUGAUGCAUAGCCGAGUUGAGAGACUGAUCGGCCACAUUGGGACUGAGACACGGCCCAAACUCCUACGGGAGACUGCAGUAGGGAAUCUUCCACAAUGGGCGAAAGCCUGAUGGAGCAACGCCGCGUGUGUGAUGAAGGCUUUCGGGUCGUAAAGCACUGUUGUAUGGGAAGAACAGCUAGAAUAGGAAAUGAUUUUAGUUUGACGGUACCAUACCAGAAAGGGACGGCUAAAUACGUG